rnacentral:rRNA from 1 species
UACGGAAGGCAGCAGUGGGGAAUAUUGCACAAUGGGCGAAAGCCUGAUGCAGCUAUGCCGCGUGUAUGAAGAAGGCCUUAGGGUUGUAAAGUACUUUCAUCGGGGAGGAAAAAACAAAACUAAUAAUUUUAUUUCUUGACGUUACCCGAAAAAGAAGCACCGGCUAACUCCGUGCCAGCAGCCGCGGUAAUACGGAGGGUGCUAGCGUUAAUCAGAAUUACUGGGCGUAAAGAGCACGUAGGUGGUUUUUUUAAGUCAGAUGUGAAAUCCCUGGGCUUAACCUAGGAACUGCAUUUUGAAACUGAAAUACUAGAGUAUCGUAGAGGGAGGUAGAAUUCUAGGUGUAGCGGUGAAAUGCGUAGAUAUCUGGAGGAAUACCUGUGGCGAAAGCGGCCUCCUAAACGAAUACUGACACUGAGGUGCGAAAGCGUGGGGA